AUGCCGAAACAAGCAUUUGCGUCUUCUAGUUGUACAUCUCCCUUGGCAGACUUUUUGAAAUAGGCACUGGAUGAAGCAAAGCUUGAGGGAGUUAGGCUUCUUUUGCGGUGACGCCAAUAAACACAGGCCAAUAGCAAAAUCAUCAGUGUAGCUGGGACUCCAAUGCCUAGACCUGACAAGUUAGUUACUCAUUAUUAUGAGCAAACAUGGAAGGAAGGAAGGAAGCAGACAGACAUAUUCAGAAUAAACAGACCCGCUUACCUAAUCCCAGCUUCAACAGAGUUUUACCAUUUCCUGCAAAACAAGAUUCCAAAAUUAUAAUGCGUUCGUUUCCAUAGAAGGUAAAAGCUGAAACCCAGUAUUAAUGAGACAGAUGAAUCAUUAAUUUGCAUACCACCGCGGUUAAAGCAGUUAGUUGGAUGGGAAGU
rnacentral:lncRNA from 1 species